rnacentral:rRNA from 1 species
UGACGAGGAGCUUGCUCCUCUGAUUUAGCGGCGGACGGGUGAGUAACACGUGGGUAAUCUGCCUGUAAGACGGGGAUAACUCCGGGAAACCGGGGCUAAUACCGGAUAAUAAGAAGAAACGCAUGUUUCUUUUUUGAAAGUCGGUUUCGGCUGACACUUACAGAUGAGCCCGCGGCGCAUUAGCUAGUUGGUGAGGUAACGGCUCACCAAGGCGACGAUGCGUAGCCGACCUGAGAGGGUGAUCGGCCACACUGGGACUGAGACACGGCCCAGACUCCUACGGGAGGCAGCAGUAGGGAAUCUUCGGCAAUGGGCGAAAGCCUGACCGAGCAACGCCGCGUGAGCGAUGAAGGCCUUCGGGUCGUAAAGCUCUGUUGUUAGAGAAGAACAAGUACGAGAGUAACUGCUCGUACCUUGACGGUACCUAACCAGAAAGCCACGGCUAACUACGUGCCAGCAGCCGCGGUAAUACGUAGGUGGCAAGCGUUAUCCGGAAUUAUUGGGCGUAAAGCGCGCGCAGGCGGUCUCUUAAGUCUGAUGUGAAAGCCCACGGCUCAACCGUGGAGGGUCAUUGGAAACUGGGAGACUUGAGUGCAGGAGAGAAAAGUGGAAUUCCACGUGUAGCGGUGAAAUGCGUAGAGAUGUGGAGGAACACCAGUGGCGAAGGCGGCUUUUUGGCCUGUAACUGACGCUGAGGCGCGAAAGCGUGGGGA